AUGAGAAUAAAGAUAACAGAUAAAGAUAAAGAUAAAAUAAAAUUAACGGAAAAUAAAAACUAAGAUAAAUGUAGAGAACUGUAUAGAGGAUGAAUAUGUAUAAAUAAAGAUAAAUAUUGUUGUUGUUAUACAGUGGAUAAAUGACAUUAGCAGAAAUUAGCAGUUAAUUAAAUUAAAUUACUGCAUUUAAGUGGUGGCUCAAGUAAUUGCACAGGUUUGCAAAUUAUUAAAGCACAGUGCUACCACUCCUUCCCUUCUGUCCGCUUUCCUAUUUCCCUAUUUCCCUAUAUUCUUUCCCUAUUUCCUCUGUUUAUGCAUGCUGAAUGUCUAGGCCUACUGAAUUAAUCACCUGCCCACUUUAUUGAUCAUUUAAGUUUCAAUUAUGUGCACGAGCGAGGACAGUUCAUUGCCAACAGCUGUCUGGACGGCGUUCGUUUUUCUGCUGAUAACUUUCCAACGAACUAAAAGAUGACAGACCACUGGAAUAUUGAUGAUGUAUGCAAAUGGCUCCAAAAAUUAACUUAAUCGAUGCAAAAGAGGCCUUCAGAGGUAAUGGAAAGCUAUAAAUGUCCAGUCUGUGAUGUGGUGAAAGUUCAACUGUCAAAAUACCUGCAGCACCUACAGCUAUUGCAUCAUCAUCAGCCCGAUUUUAGCAUUGUCUGCAAUAUAGAGGGAUGCAAGAGGAGUUAUAAAACUGUUCCAAGUUUUAGAACCCACAUCUACAGAAAACAUACAGCUACUCUCUGGAGGCCUACUGAUGAUCAUUUUCAGAAUGUAACUCUUUCAGAGGAGACUGAAGAGGAUGAAGUGGAUGACGUAGAAGACUCAGAAGACUCGCAGUCAGUCCAUGAAAACAGUUUGCCUGACUUAAAUACCCUGUUGUAAGGGCUACAGAAGCAUGUGGCACUUUUCAUCUUAAAUCUUCAAGAGAAACAUCUACUCCCUAAAGUUAAAAGAGACUAUCUCUUCACUCCGUUACACAUUCCAUAUGAACAGGAUAUGACCCCCGCUGCUUGUCAGGGUACUUGGAUAUUUCUUUAAGACACACCAGCUUGCCACGCCUCAUUGUGUAGCUAUAAAGCACCUGUGCCGGCGUGUAAUCACUGAUUGUUUGAGCGAAACAUGUCUCUGAGCGGCCCAAGGACUGGAGAGAUAGUCUCUUCACUCAGAGAACCAAGGUUACAAUGUAACCAUACGUUCUCUAUCGUCUCGAGACUAUCUCUCCACUCCGUUACAUAUUCCAUAUGUACGGGGUAGAUCUUUAAGACACCCCGUGAGGAGACGGUGCAACCCAAAAUCCCAUGUGCAACAAACAAACUUUUUACAAAUGUACACUAUAUACAACUCCCCGGAGUAGGCCCUGCAAGGCGCUAGGGCCGGCCAUGGGAGGGAAGGGGCUGCCGGGGAAGCCCACAAGGGGGACAGGCAAGGGCCCCGCAAGACGCAAAGGCCAGCCUGUUCACGGAGCAGCCGCUCAAUCAGCCCGCAAGACGCAAGGCUGAGGGGGAGACAGAAUGCCUACCGUCACGCCCACCACACGCUCCCCAAAGGAGGGGCUGGCAGCCACAUUCAACCAGUAGAACCUAGUAAAGGUUGACUGAGACGACCACGUCGCAGCGGAGCAUAUGGAAGCAAGGGAAGCCCCUCGCCACAAGGCCCAUGAGGCAGCCACACCCCGAGUGGAGUGUGCCCGGACCCCUAGUGGAACAGGCACACCUGACAGCGCAUAAGCCUGUCAGAUCAUGUCCACAACCCAGUGCGACAGCCUGGAUUUUGACAGAGGCCUGCCCAAACACCCAUGGUCGUAACAAACAAAAAGCUGAUCGGACUUCCGGACCGCCUGAGUACGCCGAAUGUAUGCCGUCAAGGCCCUGACCAGGCAUAGUGCGGACUGGCUCUGCUCAACCUCCUAGCCAGCGCUAGGCGAGGAGAGGGACCGAAGCUCAACUGACUGAGCCAGGUGGAACUCAGUCAGGACCGUAGGCAGGAAAGCUGGGUUGGGGCGGAGAGCCACACUCGAGCUGUCUGGGGAAAACCGACAGCAGUCACCAUGCACCGACAAGGCAUAGAGUUCACUCACCCUUCUAGCUGAAGUGACGGUGAGCAGAAAGGUGGUUUUCAUGGAAAGCCAUUUGAGGUCAGCACCCCCAAGAGGUUCGAAGGGGGAACGCUGAAGGGCCCCAAGGAUGAUGUCCAAGUCCCAAGGGGGAACCGCCGGACCGGCGGUACGCACAGUAAGUCGCUGGGCCCCUCGAAGAAACCGGGAAAUGAGCACACAGUCCUCCGUACUCAGUGCAAAUUCCCCGAUGCGCACUGCCUUGCUGCCACCAACCCUCGCAGUGUUACAGCAGCCUUCUGUGCCUCAAGCUGGGACUGCAAGAACCGCAGGAUCUCCUGAGCCGAGGCCAAAUAAGGGGCCACCUGGUGAGACACACACCAGACCAGGUGCUCGCCCAGACCAGGUGCACGGUGUGUAGCUACCCCACCGAGCGCGUCAGCUCACGAGCCGCGAGCAAUACGCCGGGGAGAGGGCACCGCUGCCAGGAGCCAGAGGCAGAUAAUGGCUCGCUAAGACAGGACAGAAAGAGUUCUGUACAGCAAUCCAGGGAGGCUGCCAGAGACAGAUGCCCCAACUUACUCUGGAAACCUUACUGGAGUGCCUGGGAAAUAAGUUCAAGAAGGAGAGGUCUCCUUUAUUGCACUUAAAAACAGUCCAGGAGAUGAAAGAAAAGUUUGGUGCCAAAAGACAGAGAAGAGGGGACCACCUGCCUUUGGAGGACCUAGCUGGACAACAGUGCGCAAAAAGGCGAAGGAUUGACGAUCCAAUCCAGAUAUCGUCCGGGGAUCUUGAUCCAACACAAGAGAAGUCGUUGGGGAUGAAUUGAGUUUCAGGGAGCACAUAAAUGCUAUCAAUAUUGAGCUGUGUCAUUGACAGCCAGACAUCCCGAACAUUAAGGACAGAAUGAAGCGCUCGCGACAUAAGAGAGUUGAGCACAUGGGCAAACCAACUGAGGAGGUGAUGGAGAUGUUCCCUUUUCUGCAGGUGCCUCUGCAUAUGCAUCAUGAAAUGAGGUUGCGUUUUGGCUAGGACUUGGAGCUAAAUCUUCAAGAUGCUGUUAAUGUGAUGACACCCAACAUUAUAAGGGUGGCUCGAAGUGGGAGUCAGAGGGGCCUUCUGUCAUGCCUGCUGGGAAGUGAGGCUAACAAAGAUGACCUGGAAAAGAGUGCAGCAAUGCUGAUUCUGCCUGCCCUUUUCAAGGAGAGUGCUAAGUUUCUUUACUGUUUAGAUGAGUAACCAGCGAGCUCAUUCCCAACCAUCAUCUUCCAUGAUGCAGGGAAUCCCCUUCUUGCUGCAAAAGCAUCAAUAAAGAUGGAUGGAGUGACCAUCACAAGUGGGAACCUGGAUGUGCCACAGGCUCUGCAGUGUCUGCUUGAGGUGUAUUUCCUGUUUGGCGUGGAGUACCCCAAAUAGAUGGAACACUAUUGGUUCAAAAUAAGAAAUGAUAAGAAAAGACUGUCUAUCCCAGUUCUCCAAAUGUACAGUCAGCUUUCACAAUGAAUUUUGAAAUUGAUGAAAAUAGUUGUUUUCAAUGAAGUUUUUGCCGAGAAUAAAAUCUUUAGCCUACA